rnacentral:rRNA from 1 species
UACGUAGGUCCCGAGCGUUGUCCGGAUUUAUUGGGCGUAAAGCGAGCGCAGGUGGUUUAUUAAGUCUGGUGUAAGAGGCAGUGGCUCAACCAUUGUAUGCAUUGGAAACUGGUAGACUUGAGUGCAGGAGAGGAGAGUGGAAUUCCAUGUGUAGCGGUGAAAUGCGUAGAUAUAUGGAGGAACACCGGUGGCGAAGGCGGCUUACUGGACCGUAACUGACGUUGAGGCUCGAAAGCGUGGGGAGCAAACAGG